GUAGGUGGCAAGCGUUGUCCGGAAUUAUUGGGCGUAAAGCGCGCGCAGGCGGUUCUUUAAGUCUGAUGUGAAAGCCCACGGCUCAACCGUGGAGGGUCAUUGGAAACUGGAGAACUUGAGUACAGAAGAGGAAAGCGGAAUUCCACGUGUAGCGGUGAAAUGCGUAGAGAUGUGGAGGAACACCAGUGGCGAAGGCGGCUUUCUGGUCUGUAACUGACGCUGAGGCGCGAAAGCGUGGGGAGCAAACAGGAUUAGAUACCCUGGUAGUCCACGCCGUAAACGAUGAGUGCUAAGUGUUAGGGGGUUUCCGCCCCCCUUAGUGCUGCAGCUAACGCAUUAAGCACUCCGCCUGGGAGUACGGACGCAAGGCUG
rnacentral:rRNA from 1 species